AUGGAAUUUGGGCUGAGCUGGUUUGUCCUUGCUGCGAUUUUACAAGGUGUCCAGUGUGAGGUGCAGCUGGUGGAGUCUGGGGUAGGCUUGGUGCAGCCUGGAGGGCCUCUGAAACUCUCCUGUGCAGCCUCUGGAUUCACCUUCAAUAGCUACUCUAUGCACUGGGUCCACCAGGCUCCAGGGAAGGGGCUGGAGUGGGUCGCAUACAUUAGUGAUAGUGGUGAUAGCACAAACUAUGCAGACACUGUGAGGGACAGAUUCACCAUCUCCAGAGACAACUCCAGGAACACGCUGUAUCUGCAAAUGAACAGCCUGAGAUCUGACGGCACGACCGUGUAUUACUGUGCAAAAGAUACCCAGUGA